rnacentral:rRNA from 1 species
GGGGAAUUUUGGGCAAUGGGCGAAAGCCUGACCCAGCGACGCCGCGUGAGCGAUGAAGGUCUUCGGAUCGUAAAGCUCUGUCCUUGGGGAAGAAGGUCCUCGGACUUGACGGUACCCAAGAAGAAAGCCCCGGCUAACUACGUGCCAGCAGCCGCGGUAAUACGUAGGGGGCGAGCGUUGUCCGGAAUUACUGGGCGUAAAGGGUGCGUAGGCGGCCCUUUAAGUCGGAUGUGAAAGCCCGCGGCUUAACCGCGGAAUGGCAUUCGAAACUGGAGGGCUUGAGUGUCGGAGAGGGUAGUGGAAUUCCCAGUGUAGCGGUGAAAUGCGUAGAUAUUGGGAGGAACACCAGUGGCGAAGGCGACUACCUGGACGAUAACUGACGCUGAGGCACGAAAGCUAGGGGAGCAAACA